UUCUUUGAAAAAGGUAGCCUUGUUGCGCAAGGCUUCCGUGCUUUUCACACAAACGGAAACCCGUGAAAAUCGGGUGCGGUCGCGCCGCUGUGAAUAGAAAGUGCCCAUAUGCAUAAAUCCACUGCUAAACGCGGGAAGGAGCAUUGCGGGAAGGGAGUAAUCCCGAUUCUAUAAGCCAGAAGACGUGUGUUUGAAAGCUGAAAUCC
rfam:Coraliomargarita sp. CAG:312 genomic scaffold, scf65